CAGUAGCCGCGGGAAUACGGAGGGUGCGAGCGUUAAUCGGAUUUACUGGGCGUAAAGCGUGCGUAGGCGGCUUUUUAAGUCGGAUGUGAAAUCCCUGAGCUUAACUUAGGAAUUGCAUUCGAUACUGGGAAGCUAGAGUAUGGGAGAGGAUGGUAGAAUUCCAGGUGUAGCGGUGAAAUGCGUAGAGAUCUGGAGGAAUACCGAUGGCGAAGGCAGCCAUCUGGCCUAAUACUGACGCUGAGGUACGAAAGCAUGGGGAGCAAACAGGAUUAGAUACCCCUGUAGUCCCUGUCUCUUAUAC
rnacentral:rRNA from 1 species